GUGCUAAGGUAGCAUAAUAAUUUGUCUCCUAAUUUGAGAAUAGAAUGAAUGAAUAAACAAUAAGGCCUCUGUCUCAUUAUAAAAAAUAAAAAUUUAUAUAGGAGUGAAAAAGCCCCUAUUUAAAAAAAAGACAAAAAGACCCUAGAAGCUUUUAAAUAAUUUACAUCCACUAGUAUAUAUUUUUUGGCUGGGAGGGCAUAAAGUUCACACAACACUUUAAACGUAAAAGAAUCAUAUCACAACAAUUAACCCUAACACGAAUAUAAGUAAGCUACUCUAGGGGUAACAGGCUAAUGCUCCUUAAGAGUACAUAUUGACAGGAGUGUUUGGCACCUCGAUGUUGGCUUAGGAAACUUAUUUUAUGCAGAAGUAAAAUCAAGUGGUUUGUUCAACCUUUAAUAUCCUACAUGAUCUGAG
rnacentral:rRNA from 1 species